rnacentral:lncRNA from 10 species
UAACCUGGUGUGCCCCUCCCUUCACCUGGAGCACCCUUCACCUGGGGCACCCCUCACCUGGAGCACCCCUCCCUUCACCUGGAGCUCCCCUGCAGCACCCCUCCCCUGGAGCACCCCUUCCUGGAGCAUUUCCUCAUGUGGAGCACCCCUCCCUUAGAGCACCUCUCGCCUGGAGCACUCCUCUCCUGGCCCCUUGCCUGGAGCACUCCCUUGCCACCUGUACCUGGGUGACUACUUGCCUUUCAGACCUUGGCUAAUGUAUUCUCCCCUAGGUGCCCUCCCUCAGGAGGACAGGGCCACAGACCCGUGUCCUCACCUCCCCAGCACCAAGGACCUUCUUUUCUCAGCCUGUGUCUGCCUGGUGUCUGAUGGUGCAUUUGAUGAGCUAUUGGCUGACUGUGCCUGCUGAGGGCCAGGGUGCGGUCUUCUUCCCCACCACCCUGUCCCUGGGCACUGAGCCUCCAUCUCAGUACGUCACAGGUGCAUGGCAAAUUUGGCGAAUGAGGGAGACAGCGAUGCGUCAGCAGCAUGAAAGGUGACUGGCACCAGCAGUUUGGAUCGCCUCCUGUGGCGGGAGGCCCUUGUAGAGGAUACCUUUGGAGAACAGCUCACACCCCAGAGGGAAGUGGCUUGGACAAAGGGGGCUGCUCAGCAGACUUCGAUCUCCUCUGGGGGAUGUGGAUACCGCUCAGGCCCGCACCCCUCCAUUGGUCCUGGAGACUGAUAUGGGAGGCGGUAUGUGCCUUGGCUCCGGAGGGCACCUGGAGCACCCCUCACCUGGAGAACCCUCAUCCAGAGCACUCCUUUCCUGGAGCACCCCUCACCUGAAGCACCCUCAGUUGGAGCAUCCUCUCACCUAGAGAACCCUCACCUGGAGCACCCUGUUACCCGGGGCACCCUCACCUGGAAAACCCUCAUCUGGAGCACCUUCUCACCUGGAGAACCGUCACCUGGAGCACCCUGUUACCUGGAGCACCCUGUUACCCGGAGCACCCUCAUCUGGAGCACCCCCUCACCUGGAGCACCCCUCACCUGGAGCACCCCUCACCUGGAGAGCCCCUCUCCUGCAGAACCCCUACCAGGAGCAUACUUCACCGGGACCACCCCUUGCCUUGAUGCCUCAGCACUGAGGAGUCUCCCAUCUAGGUGGCUGGGAGGGCACUCUGGAGCCAUGGGGAUGAGGACCAGAGGCUGCUGGUACAUCUUGCCCUGAGACUUUGGAGGACUGCAAGGGGACCCACAUUCACUUCAGCUCUGCACCUGUGGUGAUAUCCCCACACUGGAGAGCAAAGUGAUUGCUCCGGGGGCCAGAUGGCCACGCCACCAUCCCCCCACACACUGCCCCUGCCCCCUGCCUGGAGCACAGCCCGAGAGCACCCAGGAUCAUCCAUGUGAAGCAGCAGGCUGUGGGUAUGUUUGGCCGUCCCGACCCCUCCACAGCCAGAAUGGGCACCCAUAGGCAUGAGAACCUCACAGCCAUUAGGGGUGCCCUGAGUGCCAUGGGCGGUGGGAUUUCUCUGAUGCCCCCCAGCUCUGCUCCCUGCCUGGCUCGCCCCCUAUCAAGGCUAAGGAUGACUCAGGGCCCAGCCAUCACCAUAGCAACACGCGUCGCCUAGCAAUGGCGGUCUCCCGGCAACGGUUGUCUCCUAGCAAUGGGAUAUUUUCCUGGGCCCUGGCUGGAGCCCGGCAGUUAUUUUUAGCUCCACAGCAAAUCAGUCGGCAGCUGCA